rnacentral:rRNA from 1 species
AUGUAAUGCCUACAUUGUUAAUGCAUCAGAUCCCAUUAUGAAUCUGCAGUUAAUUUUUCUUAGGCUAUAGUAGUAUUGGGAUAGGUGACCUCCCGAGAAGUUAUAGUGUUUUACAUG